AAAAUUUUAGUUUAACUUAAAAUAAUCUACUUACAAUAGAUUGAUUAUUACUUUAGUAGUAGAAUUUUU
rnacentral:tRNA from 1 species